CCUACGGGAGGCAGCAGUGAGGAAUAUUGGUCAAUGGACGCAAGUCUGAACCAGCCAAGCCGCGUGCAGGAAGACGGCUCUAUGAGUUGUAAACUGCUUUUGUACGAGGGUAAACGCAGAUACGCGUAUCUGUCUGAAAGUAUUGUACGAAUAAGGAUCGGCUAACUCCGUGCCAGCAGCCGCGGUAAUACGGAGGAUUCAAGCGUUAUCCGGAUUUAUUGGGUUUAAAGGGUGCGUAGGCGGUCGGAUAAGUUAGAGGUGAAAUCCCGAGGCUCAACUUCGGAAUUGCCUCUGAUACUGUUCGGCUAGAGAGUAGUUGCGGUAGGCGGAAUGUAUGGUGUAGCGGUGAAAUGCUUAGAGAUCAUACAGAACACCGAGUGCGAAGGCAGCUUACCAAGCUACUUCUGACGUUGAGGCACGAAAGCGUGGGGAGCGAACAGGAUUAGAUACCCCGGUAGUC
rnacentral:rRNA from 1 species